rnacentral:rRNA from 1 species
AUUGAACGCUGGCGGCAGGCUUAACACAUGCAAGUCGCGCGAGCGGCGGACGGGUGAGUAAUGUCUGGGAAACUGCCUGAUGGAGGGGGAUAACUACUGGAAAAGGUAGCUAAUACCGCAUACCAUCAGAUGUGCCCAGCUGGGAUUAGCUAGUAGGUGGGGUAAUGGCUCACCUAGGCGACGAUCCCUAGCUGGUCUGAGAGUAUGACCAGCCACACGGGAACUGAGACACGGUCCAGACGCCUACGGGAGGCAGCAGUGGGGAAUAUUGCACAAUGGGCGCAAGCCUGAUGCAGCAACGCCGCGUGUAUUAAGAAGGCCUUCGGGUUGUAAAGUACUGUCAGCGAGGAGGCGUUACUCGCAGAAGAAGCACCGGCUAACUCCGUGCCAGCAGCCGCGGUAAUAC